UUGUGGCUGAUUUCUGUAAGAAAGAGAAGCUGGGGGAGAGAGGGAGAGAGAGAGAGAGAGAAAAAAAAGCGCAAACAGUAAAACAGCUCCAGCCUCGGAUGCUCAGGGGUUCGUCGGAAUAAUUGAACGCGCAGACCGAAGCACGAGGAUGAGGACGCAGUCAAGCCUGGGAUGAAGUAUUGGUGAUGCUGAGUGGAAGACUAGUGAUUUUGUUGUGACGCUCAUCAAAGAACAACAAGUCCCAGUCUACCUCUCAGCACAAGCAAGUGCCCUUCAGUAUGCACCACCUUUGCACCCCUGCACGCACAGUCGGCGCUGACGUUAAUGACAAGAUUUCCAGUUUUUUUUUUCACCAGCAAGCUGCCCUUUAAAAUCCCCCUAAAACGCUCUGAUUCAGUCCCUGCGCGAACCAGCAUUCAGUAAUGUUAAUUACCGGCAAAAUUGCAAUCAAAAAGGAUAAUUUAGGCAUGGUACUGAAUCGUGUGGUGAAAGCUGCUCAGGGAAAAACUGUAAUUAUGUCAUAAAGUGCCUUGUAAAAAAGAAAAAAAAUACAGGGAAGCAGCUUUGUUCUAUUGUAUUCCUCCCAUUUCCAGACUGUGUAUCUUUAUGGCACAUUGUUCCUGAAAAUGUUCACAGAUCAUUUAUUCAACUACCUCGGAUGGAACGUGUAUUUUCAGUUCGGUAUAAAGUAAAAUAAACCCUUAAAAGUUUUA